GAGAGGGAGAGAGCCAGAGAGGGAGGCAGAGAGGGAGAGAGUCUCCAAGGUCACACUCCUGUCACCAGGACCUUCAGCUCAGUUCCACCUGCCGAGUCCCCUGCUUCCCCGUAGCCCAUGAAACUGCAAACGCACGCACGGAUUCACCCGCUGCAGAGCUCCGGGCCUUCAGGAUCCAGUCACCGCUCGGAGGGCUGCACGUCUGCUGUCUCGGGACGGAGCCUUCCACGUGGGCACUCAGGGUUCAGACGCAGCAGGCGGGCACCUCCCAGCGCGGGCCUCCUUCUGCCUGUAGACAGGAGGAAGGGGCGGGGCGGAGGAAAGGCGUCCACUGCUGGGGUCCCCGGGGGGCAACGCAGUUUCAACACGGUGCUCGUUCCCUUGGGGGACGCCCGAGAAAGGACACUUCCAGAGGCCCAGCCGAGGAGCCUGGGACAAAUUUCAGGAACAAUGGAACGCCCCUGCCCAUCGCCCGGCACGCCGGGAACCACAGCUCUGGCUUCAAUCCACCCCUCUUGGCGCCUUUCAUUUCAUUUGUUUUCCAGAGACGUCAAAACAGAGGCCCACAGCCCGGGGGGGCUUCAACAGCGGAGAUUUAUUGUCCCUGUCCGGGAACUGAGGCCCCAGGCCCAGCGUGGGCAGUGCCCGCUCCUCUGAGGCCUCGCUCCUGGGCUCCCUGUGACUUCACAGGCGUGUCCCUCUGUGUGUGUCCACGUCCUCCAUCCUCUGCUCAGAAGGGCCGAGCCCUGUGGGGUUGGGGCCACCCGGGGGACUCAGUUUACCUUCACUGGCUCCUAGGACCCUGUCUUAAGACACAGCUGCAGCCUGAGGUCCUGGGGUCAGAGAGUCAAUCAACAAACAUCCACUCUCCAUAGAGCUGCAUCCUGAGGUGCUGGGGGUCAGUGAGUCAAUCAAUAAACAUCCAGUCUCCCCACAGCUGCAGCCUGAGGUCCUGGGGUCAGAGAGUCAAUCGACAAACGUCCAGAAACACAACUUGCUCCACAUGAAACCCCAGGUCUGCCCUGUCCACCCGCAGGUUUGACACUUCCAGGGUUCGGGCCAGUCCUUUGACAAACAUCCCGAUCUCCUUCUAUAGUCUAGAAACAAUAACACCUUCCAAACCUGGAUUCCAAACGUGCUCUCUGAGCAUGUCGAUUCCCCACCCACGCGGGAGAUGGAGGGUUAUUUGAUAAGAACGGAACACCUUGAUGCAUCUGCAGAGACUGGGAGUCUCUGCUAGGAGGAGGGACCCCAGAGGGCUUGGAGGAGAGUCUUUGGGGACCCCAGCCCCUGGCUGAGCUCCAAGACAGAGAAGUUUUCUGGGUGAACAGGGAAAGGGAGGUGUUUGGGGAACAGGAGACAGCGGGCUGCACUGCCACGCAUGGGUGAAUGAACGUGUGUCUGUGCGUGUGCUGUGUGUAAGCACACAUGCUCCGGGAGAGGAAACGACAAUACUUUGGACUGCCGUUUCCUGCAGGUCAGAUGACUUCAAACUGAGUCGUUAGAACAAGGCAGCCCCGCCCCAGUCUGCUGGCUGCCAGCUCCACCAUCUCACCAAGCUCCCGGGUAACACCCUCAGCCUUAAAUCUCCUCUUCUGCAAAACAAGGCUCACUUCAUCCACAUGGUGGGGUCAAAAUGCAAAUCAAAGCGGGGGAUGCUCCUAGCACGAAGGGUCGAGCCAACUCGGCCCAGGCCGGACGUGGUUGGUGUCCUGUGAUGCCCCCGUAGAAGGCUGGUGGAAGCUUUGCUUACAGAGGACAACAACACAGGGAUCUCCGAAGGCGAGCUUGCUACAUGAUCGACUCUGUCGCUGUUCGCUAACACUGUUCAACCCGAACUCAAACGAUCCAGUCCAGGUUUCAGGGUUUGGACGUGGCAUCAAGCUUGUGCAUCAAGCUUGCAGAGAGGGAAACUGAGUCAAAGAUCUUCCUGCCUGGAGUAUGAUCAGUGUGGAGGAAAGGCAGAUUCAUCUUCCUGCCUCCCACUGACCGCUUCCUGCAUCCAGGCCCCACCUCCUACAGCAGCUUCAGCCAGGAGCUCAUCCAUGGAUGGAUCCACCGAUGACCACAGCUCCCUGGGACUCAGUCACCUUCCACACAGGGGAUCUUGGGGGACAUUUUAGGCCUAAGCCGUCUUCAUCCAGGGGCCCGUAUCCAAGAGCCUCUUGGGGGAGUGGUCCCCAUCCUGAGCAGCACGGGUCUCGAGUUGUCCUACUUCUGCCAUCUUGUUUUUGCUAGGGUCCACCCCCCACCCCCAGCCUUCAAGCAGAUGCUCCGUUUCCUUAUCAACGCUUCUCCCCUCUCCACUUUCUACUGCCCAAAGGUGGUUUUACCACAAGCAGUGCUGCACGGCCAGACCUAUCCUUGAUUGAAGGAUGUGCCUGCCCACCCCAAGCAGCUUUCAACCUGGUUGAAAAGCGUUUCUCUAGUAGAUCAUUGCCUUUCUGGUGGGACCCAGAAAUUCCACCCCACUGUGGUGAGGUCUUUGCAGACUUUGUACUCCCCAGGAGAGAGAGCUUUGAGCUCCUCCCGGUCCUGCCAUCUGCAGAAUAGAAACAACCCACAAAUGCAGAAAUGGUGUCUGAGCUAGUACAUUUCCCAGGGGUCCUCCUGCCCCUGAGUGUGGGUCAGCUUUCUGCUGCUGUGAUAAAAUAGUCGAGAAAAGAAGCUUAUGGAAGAAAGGUUCAGUUUGCCUCACAGUUCCCGAGGGUUCAGUCCAUGGUCAACGUGGAGGAAGGGUGUGGCUGAGGAAAAGCUGCUCAGUGGAUGGUGGCCAGGAAGCAGAGGGAGAAGGAACAAGAAUAUGCCUUUCCAGGUAACCCCACCCAAGGACCAACCUCGUCCAACCAGAGCCCACCUCCUCCUCCUGCCUUCAGCUCUGAGCUCGUGAAUGAUGAACCCACUGAUGAGUGUGGUCCACUCACCUUCUGAAAGCCCCACCGCUGGAUAUGUGAGCCUUUGGGGGAAACUUAGAGAUCCAGACGGUAACACCCCAAUAACCUACCUCACCCCACUAGACCUCCCUCUCCUCCUAAGAGUUCUGCAAUUUCCCAGCAGCACCAUCGACUGGAGACUGAAGCCUCAGCACACGAGUCCCAUGGAGAAUAUUCAGAUCCCAAACCACAACACCUUUCUCUCCUUCUGAACCCCACUCUUUGGGGUUCACCCCUUCUCUUCUAGUGCCAUCUUUCUGUCCCAGGGUCCCUCAGACAUCGAGGUGUCUUGCUUCCCCACGCAUUUCUCAGAUGGGACAGUUUCUGACGUGUUCUUUGUUUUCCAUGACCAUGAGAGUCCGGAGGAGAACUGGUCUACCCUGUACUGCGAUUCUUCUGAUAUUUUUCUCAUGGAUAGAUAGGGAUGGCUGGUUUUGUGGGGGAAGACGAUGGAGAUGAAAUACCUCCCCAACGCAGCCUACCGAGAGCCCAUGUUAUCACCAUGCCCCAUCUCUGUUGAUGUUGGCUUUGGACAUCUGCUGAAGCAAUAUUUGGCAGGGACAUGUUCCCCCAGUGUCGUGAUCUUGGACAGAAACCAUCCCAUGCUUUGGUCUCUGAAGGGACAGAGAGCUCUGGUGGCAGUGAAGCCUUCUGUCAUCCUGCCCACCAGGUCAAGCCAGGGCGCCAGACCACCAGUAGACCAUGGCUCCAACAGGCAGCUCAGGCCCUUGGAGGUCGCAAGCAGCCCAACCCUCCUCUGGGGCUACCCAACCAGCACGCCACCCCAGCUGCACUACGGGGGAGAAGGGUGGGUGACUGUUGCUGAGGAUUAAGGCCCUCUCCCCCUUCACCCAUCUUGCCAAGCCAUGACCAAGAGAUCAGGCUCCUGGGCAGUUCACCUCGGGGGGCCAUGUGGGGAUCCCCAACCUCCAUCCAGCCUCUGGUCACCGCUGGCCACCCCUGCCCAGCUGCCUGGCUCUCUCUGCUGUGACAGCGUCCUCAGCCUCAUCCUUGUGCAUAGUGACAACAUCCCUGGGUCCCAUUGUCGUCCGAGGGUCAGGCCAGGGGGAGUGUUGACCUGCACCCCUGGCUGGAUGGGCCCCCCUGGAGGACCGUCACCUUCUAACGAUGCCAUCGCCAGGGUAGGUGCCGCUGGGGACCUACCCCACGUCAUUCUCAGAUGCAAGCCACGCCACGCGCCAAUGCCAAUCCCAGCCAGUGGUCCCGGCCUCCUCAUGUGUGCAGAGCAAGCAGCCGGCUGGGAAAAAGACACCCAAGGGGCUCCCUGGGUUCCUCCAGCCGAGUUACCUAGGAUGUUCUGGUGUCAUCUUGCAAAGAGGAGAGACCGUGUCUUAGAAGCAGAGAAUCACCCUGUGAAAUGGUGGACUAGAGAUUUUGCAGGUGCAAUGAGAGGGCUCUGGGACAUUCUAGUAGCAUAUCCAGCAUUUAGUUCCUUUGGAACGCGAACCUAUGCAUAAGGCACUUUCUCCAGUGCAUCCUGUGUGAGACUCCUCUGGCUACCAGGAAGGACCCCAGACCUCCCUGCCCUGUGCUUGGCUGACAGCAGAAUGAAGGAGGUCUCCAUGUGGAGCUGUAAAGUCCAUGUGAACAUCCGUGCUGCGGUGCCCCCAGCAGCACCCGCCCCUCGUCCUGUUGGUCUGUGCCCUGGUGAGCUUUUUCUACACUCUUCCUCCACACCGCCGCUGUCGUCCCGUUCUGCAGGUGUGAAUUUUGAUGCCUCGGUGUUGUCCUGUCAUCGCUUCCGCCUCCGUGUGUGCAGGGAGGCUGUGAGGAUGGAGCUGAGACAUUACAGCUAUUCCAGACAAUAAAAUAUUUUUGAAACCGC
ensembl:lncRNA